UCUGAUUGCAUCGCUUUUAUGGUUGUGGUAUGCUUUAGAAUACUACAAUAUGCGCCAUUUGCAAAUGGGAAAUUAAACAGUGGUUGCAUGAAGUCACUGGCAGUUUCAUGCUGUCUUAUCUUUUUUUUUCUUCUUGAUUUUUCAGUCCUUUAACGAGUCGAAUAUAGCUACGUAUUUCAACACAAACGCAUUUGAAUACAGGCGGUCAAAUGGAACUGUGAGUGAGUGACGAAUCCGCACUGUGUGAAGGUGUGAACGGUGACGUUCAACAUGUCAACCACUAAGCCUGCACCGGUGCAAGCCCUCCACAUGGUGGUGCUGCAGGGGAAAGGAACCAAAGCUCCUCUACAGGGACCUCUCAGCUACCUGGACCAGAGCAAGAGGUCCACACCAUUUCUCACUGCUAGAUAGUUUCAGUGGCAGACGUUGUUCUCUGGGCGGCCCUCUACCCAAUCCUCUCGGACAGCAGUCUGGUGUCAGGUGAGUUUUAAGUGUUUUAAAGUGAACAAUGGAUCUACAGUAGUUUAGUUUAAGUGUAAUAAAUGAAGAGUUAUGUUAUAACACUUCAUAUAUGGUAGGUGAGCAAACGAAGGUGCAGCACUGGUUUGAGCAUGUGGGCGUGCAGGCAGCCUGUGAGUCAGCAGCCCAGACGGGGAAGGGACUGAUGCUUUGAAGACGUACAUGCAGAGACAGCCAGCUACUCACCACGGCCAGUGUCAGGGUAGAGGCACAGAGCCAUGCAUUGGCCCUGAGGUAGGAGAAGACAUCUGGGCCUGUAUUCAUAAAGUGUCUCAGAGUAUGAGUGCUGAUCAAGAAUCAGGUACCCCUGUCCAUAAUCAUAUUCAUUAUUCUCUCAAAGGCAAUUAACUGAUCCUAGAUCAGUAUUCAGAUGCUUAAUAUAGGCCUGAUUUUAUUUUAUUUAUUUGACCCUUUAGAAACACAAUUCACACUACAUUUAAAAUAAUUGAGGACAACACAAAGCCUUUUUCCCAUUGUGGUCCUCUUUGGUUGGCUAUACAGAGAAAAGGGGGAGAGGAGGUGAGAGAGUUGCCAAACUCCAAAUCCACCCCUAGCGCUACUCUUCGGACAAGUAGGACUGAUUCUGAUGGUUUGGAAAAUACUCUUCAUAAUUUGUUAUUAUGCUUUUAUGAUAGUUAAAUUAGUAGGAUUAGGCGUUUGGUCAUAUCGUUCACAACGGCAAGGAGGGAUUUAUUUUCUUGUCUUGCAUGCCUCAUUUCUGUCUUGGAAUGCUUUCUGUAUAUAUUUUUAUAUAUUUUUAUAUUUUUCCUAUGCUUUGAAUGCUUUCAAAUACUUUUCACUCAAAUCCAUAUGUUUUGGUUUCAAUACUUAAAAAAUUAUUGGUAGGUCCAGGUAGUCACAACAAUAGAUGGGUGUUGGUUCAAUUGUGAUUUUAAUGAAUGGAGUGAAUUUGGAGCAGCAGCUUUUUGUCCUGUGAGCGCAGAGCAUUUUUAGUGGAGUGGUAGGAAAUCACAUGAAGUGGUGCGCAUCCAUGAGCGAUGAGCGGGAUUUACAACCGCUCAACUUAUCUGCUUUGGUCCAGACUCUGUCUGCCGCCAGAUGGAAUUGUAUUAUAACAUGUCAUUCCUCUGUCUGCCGCUAGAUGGAAUUGUAUUAAAACAUAUCAUUCCUGUAUUUGACGGCCAGGUAGAGCUGUAUAACCGUUACACGGUGUUGUGUCCCCCUGCUCUGGUCAACCACCUGGUACCUACAGGUAACACACACAUACACCAGACAGUCCAGUACAUUUAUGAAGCACAAUACUUAUUUUAUUAUUCUAGCUAUGUGAUUGUUGCUAAAUUCUCUAUUUUAGAAGACUUGCAACGCUAUUCAUGUGGUUCUUACACCUCCUUUAGUUGAAUGCACUUGAAUUGUUAAAUGCUCUAGAUAAGAGCGUAUAAACAGCUGCUCAAGGAGUUUAAUUUAAAUCAAUCUAUAUGAAUUUAGCUCAGAGUACCUGAACUACGAGGACACAAGUUCUCUAAGAUUAAGUGGUGGGUUUGGUGACAUGGCCAAGGAAACAGGCAUCCCAUCUGACAUGUGGUGUUUCUACCUGCUCUUCCUCCGCCCCGAGGGACAGGACUCUGCCUUCUCCUGGGCCGACAUGGCCAUGAAGAUAAAUUCUGAACUGCUCAAUAACCCGGGCAACAUCAUCAACAGAGCUGGUGUUUGUCAGUAAGUUCUUUGAGAACUGUGUCCCUGCUAUAGGGCUUCAGCAGGAGACUGUUGUCCCAGGUGGGAUGGGAGCUGAAGCAAUACAUCAACCUCAUGGACAAAGUCAAGUAAAGAACAGGCUACACACACACACACAUACACAAACACACUGUAAACAGGCUACACACAACCAAGUUACACACCAACAGACUAUCAACGUGUUGUUAUGCAUUUAUAAGCUAAGUAGUAUUUCUCCUUAAAAGUUGAGAUGAUAGCAUUACUGAUCCAUAUAGACUGUUAAAUGGGUGAUGCUAUCCCAUCUCUUUUCUUUUCUGGAAGAAAAACUAUUUAGUACACACCAGUGUUUCCUCUGGAAAAUGUGUUAGCUGUGGGGGAAAAGUUAGUGGGGGUUUAAGGGUUGGUCCCAUCUUUUUUGGGGGGUUCCGGGGUCCUCACCCCCAUAACAAAGUAUUUAUAAGUACUGAAAAUAUUGAUUCUUGUAACUUUUUAAAAGGAAAAAAACUUGAGUGCUGCAGCUAUCUAAAGAAACAUAACAGAGACCUUCGUUCUGAAAUAAAAAAGUUUAUCUUGACAAAAUAAACAGGAACAUUUGACUGAACAUGAAUUAGAGCCCACUAAUCAAUGUUAAUCACAAAAGUAGGGUGUUGGAAAUCUCUUUCCAGGUUCUGCCAAAAACCUUGUUUUGACAUUACAGCUUUUGUCAGAGAACUUUUUUCUUCUGGGCUUCUGUAAAAAGAUUUCCAACACCCUCCUGUAAUUGAGCUCCUUGAUGGGUGAGCCGUUAAUGGAGAGCUGCAUGCAGGCGGCUAGAUGCUCUCCAUGCAGUCUGUUCCUCAUGUCUGUUUGACCUACAAUAAAAGAAAGAAUAAUAAGAGAUUGGAGAGGAACAAAGAGGAUCUACUUUCACAUUGAAAUGUUCUUACUCGUUUCAUUGCAGAGAAGUCCCUCUCACAAUUAACGUAAGACACAGGUAAAGUCAGUGCAAUUGCUGCCAGCUGGCUAAGGCAGGGGUAGACUGCCCCCACUCGUCAAACUGCGAGGUCAGCAUUGUCAUUGUCGCCCACUGGUCCAACCCCAGAAAUACAUGAAAAACAAAAAGGUGUACAACAUUAAAGAAGAGCCAACAGAGUGGUAGUUCAACAGGAAAAAGGGUUGGGCAACACUGGCCUAAAAUGUCCUCUUCAAAAAAUUGUCACACUCAUGCCAUACCUUGAAUGAUCCAGGGCCACUCUUACAGCACAGCAGCCUCUAGCACUUGCAAUAACUGCCUGGAGAGGAGGGUCAGGUUAGAGGUGCUUAUCCUCUCACUACAGAACGCAGACUGAUGUCCCAACACACUGAAGGCCCCCGAGAAUCUCCAGGUGUUGGAACCUCCAGUCCAACAUAAUAUGGAUCUAUGACCUAAUGACAGCACAAAGCAGAAAAUAAGUGAUUAAUAGCUGUUUGUUUUAGUUUAUCCAACACACCCGAUGUAACAUUGGUUUCAUCACAGCAUUUGAAGACAAAUGUUUUUACCUCCUCUCUGAACUGCUCCCUGUCUUCUCUCUCUCCUCCUUGAUGUUGAUUUUUAAAAAUUUAACUAGGCAAUUCAGUGAAGAACAAAUUCUUAUUUUCAAUGAUAGCCUAGGAACAGUGGGUUAACUGCCUGUUCAGGGGCAGAACAACAGAUUUGUACCUUGUCAGCUCGGGGAUUUGAACUAUCAACCUUCCAGUUCCAACUUCCAACUAGUCCAGGGUACUAUGGUGUUGAAUGCCGAGCUGUAGUCGAUGAACAGCAUUCUCACAUAGGUAUUCCUCUUGUCCAGGUGGGUUAGGGCAGUGUGCAGUGU